rnacentral:ribozyme from 1 species
GCUGCUCUGAUAAUCACACACCUCUCCGUGGUGAGCAGCAGGCAACGAACUUAUGGUUGGCUAAGAUGUGAAA